rnacentral:lncRNA from 1 species
ACAGAAGAGUAGAAUAUAGUUUAGAUUCGUUCCUUUGAGCUCUGAAGGCUGCAUAUGUAUGCCAGUUGGGACAGCUUAAGUUAUGUUGGUUAAAAAAAAAUUCAGGAGCUUCCUAUAACAAAGUCUUAUUCUCAUUUAUCUUACAUGUUAUUCACAGGCCAGCUGGGGGCUCUACUCAGUGUUGUCGUCACUCCAGGACCCCAACUGAUAUGAGAAUCUGCCAUCUGGAUUACUGCAGGUUGUCAAAGCAGAGGGAAAGAGAACUCUAGCAAUUAAAAUGCUUCAGCCUAGAAGUGACACAUGGUAAUUCUGCACAUAACUCAUUGACCAGAAUGAUCACAUGGUUCCUACCCAACCAUAAGGAGGCCAAGGAGUGCAAACCUACUGCGUGCCAAGCAGGUGGCAAGUUAGAAAUAUAUGGGAGAAGACUCCCACAUUGGUUUCCAGAAGCCCAAGAGACACCCAAGUUGAAUUCAACACAAACAGUCGCUGAGCAAUUCCUGUGGACAAACUGCUGUGCUUUGGAUGGUAAAAGACCCUGACUUCAGGCACCUUGCAUUCCAGCAAGGAAAUAACCAUGAAGCUCCUUACAACAAAACACUGGCCUGCACAGGGAGAGACGGAGGAGAACCACAUGUCCAGAGAGUCUGGGAAAGGCAGAGCCGAGAGCCUUUUAAAGAAUAGAAGCAGGAGGGUGGACGAUGGUGGAAGACAGAGGCGUAGACAAAGACUGAGCGUGGAGAUCUUCAGGAAAAGAUGGCUGAGAGCACAAAGAAAGAGAUGAAGUCACAGCUGGAAGAGGAGCUGUUCAGAGGUGAGGGGGAGGAGUGGCCGUGGAAUGGGCAAGGUUGAUGGGACAAGAGAGAGCAUCAUCGAUGGCGCACAGGCCCAAAAGAGGCUGGUGAGGCAGGGAGGAAGUCAGGCUGGCUACGGAGGGAGACACCUGGUUUGAAGAAAUAAGAAAACAUCUUAUUUCAAGGGCAAAGAAAAGGAAGAUUGGUGUGUGGUCAUGGGAGAAACUGGGAGAUAGAAGGGAGCUCUAUUGGCUCCAUCUUUGAGAUGAAUCAGAAGUGAUGUCACCUGCUAAAGGAUGAAUUUGUUUGAGAUCUUAAGAAUGC